rnacentral:tRNA from 1 species
GAGGAUAUAAUUCAGUGGUAGAGUGUGUGCUUAGCGUGCACAAGGUCCUGGGUUCAAUUCCCCAGGACCUCC